rnacentral:lncRNA from 1 species
CGUAAAACAAAAUCUCUGCUGACCGAGGACCCUAGUUUUUCUUCACCCUGCUUCAUCGUCUCGAGCCCUCUCAAUCUUGUCCGAUGCCCGAGAGAACCAUGAGCGUUGGAAUUAAACGAAAAUCGUCGCCCCUCUCAAUCUUCUCCCAUGGCCAAGAGACGGAGAAAGUUGGAAUUCGGGAUUGAAAGCAACAAACAAUUGCUUUGAUUCAUGUGUAAAAAUAUUAAGUUUCCUAUGUUUUUUCUUCUUUUUUAGGUACAUAUGAGUGUGGAUGGGAUUUUGCUGCUUUAAUGAUAAUUAUUGUUCCUUUUUUAUUUAGGUAUAUAUGAG